GGCUACCGCUAUUGGAAUCCGAUUAAGCCAUGCGAGUCGAGAGAUUUCGGAUCUCGGCGGACGUCUCAGUAACACGUGGAUAAUCUGCCCUUGAGUGGGGGAUAAACUCGGAAACCUGAGUAUAAUACCCCAUAGGCCUAGGAUGCUGGAAUGCUUCUAGGUUGAAAGCUCCGGCGCUCAAGGAUGAAUCUGCGACCUAUCAGGCUGUAGUGGGUGUAACGGACCCACUAACCUUCGACGGGUACGGGCCUUGAGAGAGGUUGCCCGGAGUUGGACUCUGAGACACGAGUCCAGGCCCUACGGGGUGCAGCAGGCGCGAAAACUUCACAAUGUGGGAAACCACGAUGAGGGGAUUCCAAGUGCUAACACAUAGUGUUAGCUGUUCAUCUGCCUAAAAAGCUGGUGAAGUAAGGGCCGGGUAAGACGGGUGCCAGCCGCCGCGGUAAUACCUGCGGCCCGAGUGGUGGUCGUUAUUAUUGAGCCUAAAGCGUCCGUAGCCGGUUUAGUAAAUUUCUGGGUAAAUCGGGCAGCUUAACUGUCCGAAUUCCGGAAAGACUGCUGAACUUGGGACCGGGGGAGGUUGGAGGUACUCCUGGGGUAGGGGUGAAA
rnacentral:rRNA from 1 species